GGAAUCCUGACACGCUCCACAACAGCUGAUGCUCCUGGACAGGUUGGAGUAACCAGCAUCCCUCCACUCACCAACCCUCCAUCAUCCCUGCCAACCAGCCACCCAUCAGCCAACUGGCCGCUUGUCCUCUCAAACAACCCUCCACCAGUCCUGCCAUGCAGCCUCCCAGUGCCAUGUUGAAUCAGGAAGCAACCAUUCAAUCACUGGAGGAGAGAAGUAUUACCCGGUGAAGAAGGUACUGAAAAGCAAAAGGUUGAAGGUUUUAUUUGUUGUAAUUUGAGGUCAAAAAAUGUAGUUGUAAUAUA